rnacentral:lncRNA from 1 species
GUUAAUGUCGCCGGCGACGGAAACUCAGGAAUGUCGGUUCUCUGUGAUCUCGAUUCCGACGAAAAGGCAGCAAAUUUGCAGCCGUGUCAGCCGCAGAGAGCAUCCCCUUCUUCUCGUAACCGCAGCAGCCGCAGAAACUCCGACAAAAACGCCAUCGUUUCGAUACAGUAAAUAGUAGGUGGAUUUUCAAAAGCACCUGCUUUAGAUUCUUAUUUUUUAUGCUUCAGUGCUUGAAACUGUUCGAAGGGUAGAGGAAAUUUGAUGAAAAGUUUUGUCUUUUCUUGUGGUGGAAGCUGAAGUUCGUUACUAAGGCUGUUGUCUAAGGUCCAGAGAAUGGUAAACCAACGUUAAAGUGACUGUUAGUUAGUUUGUGGCUGUUCAUUAAGUUCCAGAUAAUGGUACACCAACUUUACAUUGAGUGUUAGUUUUAAGUCGGUAGAGUUGAUGGAGUUAGUUUGUUGGUAGGUCGCCCUCUGGAUUGUAUAUAAUCUUAGAGCAUAAUCUUUGGAUGAAAAACUGUUUAUAUGUACCUGCCAUCUUCAAGAGAUAAUGAUAGAUUUCUUGAGGCUUUUGAUAACAUGGACAUAUGAUCUGCAUCUUUGCAUUUUCAAGUGCAAAGAUGCAGAUCAUAUGUCCAUGUUAAUAUCAAAGCCUCAAGAACUCUAUCUGCCCACGAACAAGAUCAGACCACUCCUGGUUAUUUACCUUCUCUUUUUUAGCCUCUUUGUCUUCUAUUUUUUCGACUAUUAGUUUUGCUGGUAGCUGUCUGCGAUUUACAAGAGAUGGCCAGUUAGUAGUUGAGGCUUGCAGAACAUUGGCAUAUGAUCUGUGUCUACCAUCUCUAUCGCCUGAUAAUUAUUAAUCAUUAAUUGCUGAUGUUCUUUUGCAAUGGCUUUGUCCUCUCUGAUCAGUUGUAUUUUUUUACAGACGUAGGCGUAUUAGUGAAUUACAAUACCAAAUUGGCCAAUCUUCACUCAGUGAAUCAGUCAGUUAUAUGAACUUACUUUUUUCCUCUCAUUAGCCUAGAUUCGUUUUCCGUUUUCUCCUCUAGUUUUUCUUUGCUUCAGUGCUUGAAGUUGUUUGAUCGUAGACGAAAGUUGAUGAGAAGUUAUAGCUUUUCUUGAAUCUAAGAUUAGAUCAGUGCAGUUGCCAUAUUGUUCAGUUGUUUUCAUCUUGCAUAUAGAAAUUGCUCUGCAACAUUGGUUAUAGUGAUGCUUCGCAAUGCAGACAUUGCAGUUCUCUCUAUUAUGAUGCUAUGAUCCUACAUUUGAAACCAAGAGGCCUUGUAACUACUUCUCUGUGUAAUACAGUUUUCUCACGAAACUUUAUUAUAUAAGCAUUAUCAUUUGCUUAGUUCUCAUACAUAUAGAUGUAUUCUCUUAUGGCGUAUUAUUUAUUGGUGGAAGCUGAAAUUGGUUAAUUUUUGCAAUAUUUAUUUGCAAUCUCCAGGAGAAGAGCACAAACUUCUUGAGGCUUGGAGAACAUUGGCAUAUGAUCUGCACAUUUGAUCUCCAUUACUUCUUUUGGUGGAAAGUUGCUAAUCAUCCAACGCUGGUAAUCUUCGACUUCCACAAGAUCCUCUCUGCAUACAAUAUAUAUACGUGUAACGGAUCCGUACCCUUCCUCACUAAAGCUUCUUGUCCCUGCCAGAUUGUUUGUAACUAACGGGUUUUCCCUCACUAAUGUCUUCACCACUUCAAGAUCCUUAUUCGCCACAACAACAAUCAACAAAAGAUUGACUGAG